GAUGAACGCUGGCGGCGUGCCUAAUACAUGCAAGUCGAGCGAACAGACGAGGAGCUUGCUCCUCUGACGUUAGCGGCGGACGGGUGAGUAACACGUGGAUAACCUACCUAUAAGACUGGGAUAACUUCGGGAAACCGGAGCUAAUACCGGAUAAUAUCUUGAACCGCAUGGUUCAAUAGUGAAAGACGGUUUUGCUGUCACUUCUAGAUGGAUCUGCGCCGCAUUAGCUAGUUGGUAAGGUCACGGCUUACCAAGGCAACGAUGCGUAGCCGACCUGAGAGGGGGAUCGGCCACACGAGAACUGGGACACGGUCCAGACUCCUACGGGAGGCAGCAGUAGGGAAUCUUCCGCAAAGGGCGAAAGCCUGACGGAGCAACGCCGCGUGAGUGAUGAAGGUCUUCGGAGCGUAAAACUCUGUUAUUAGGGAAGAACAAAUGUGUAAGUAACUAUGCACGUCUUGACGGUACCUAAUCAGAAAGCCACGGCUAACUACGUG
rnacentral:rRNA from 1 species